UACGAAGGUGGCAAGCGUUGUUCGGAUUCACUGGGCGUACAGGGUGUGUAGGCGGUUUGGUAAGCCUUCUGUUAAAGCUUCGGGCCCAACCCGGAAAGCGCAGAGGGUACUGCCAGGCUAGAGGGCGGGAGAGGAGCGCGGAAUUCCCGGUGUAGCGGUGAAAUGCGUAGAGAUCGGGAGGAAGGCCGGUGGCGAAGGCGGCGCUCUGGAACGUACCUGACGCUGAGACACGAAAAGCGUGGGGAGCGAACAGG
rnacentral:rRNA from 1 species